rnacentral:rRNA from 1 species
UGCGUAGGCGGCAAUUUAAGUUUAUUGUGAAAUCCCCGGGCUUAACUUGGGGCUUGCAGUAAAAACUGGAUAGCUAGAGUACAGGAGAGGUAAGUGGAAUUCCUAGUGUAGCGGUGGAAUGCGUAGAUAUUAGGAGGAACACCAGUGGCGAAGGCGACUUACUGGA